AUCAUCACCGGUGGAGAAGGAAAAGAAAAAGAAAAAGACAAAAACAACACCAAAAAAAACACAACCAAAAAAGAAAAAAGUUGUUGUGGAGGAUUCACCUCCUGAAGAAGAUCAAUACUUUGAUGGUGAGAGAUAUGAAAUAUCAAGUGACGAACUAGAUGAAUGGCUAAGGCAAAACGUUGAUAAAUCUGCUGCAGAGGGGUAUGUCUUGCUGGGCU